GACGAACGCUGGCGGCGUGCUUAACACAUGCAAGUCGAACGGAAAGACCCUGCUUUUGUGGGGUUCUCGAGUGGCGAACGGGUGAGUAACACGUGAAUAACCUGCCCUUGACUUUGGGAUAACUUCAGGAAACUGGGGCUACUACCGUAUAGGAGAUCCUGCUGCAUGGAGGGGGUUGGAAAGUUUCGGCGGUUGGGGUUGGACUCGCGGCUUAUCAGCUUGUUGGUGGGGUAGUGGCUUACCAAGGCUUUGACGGGUAGCCGGCCUGAGAGGGUGACCGGCCACAUUGGGACUGAGAUACGGACCAGACUCCUACGGGAGGCAGCAGUGGGGAAUAUUGCACAAUGGGCGGAAGCCUGAUGCAGCAACGCCGCGUGCGGGAUGACGGCCUUCGGGUUGUAAACCGCUUUCGCCUGUGACGAAGCGUGAGUGACGGUAAUGGGUAAAGAAGCACCGGCUAACUACGUG
rnacentral:rRNA from 1 species